GCGGGUAUGGUAUAAGGGUUGUGCCUGUGGCUUCCAACCACAAGAUGCGAGUUCAAAUCUCGCUACCCGCUCCA
rnacentral:tRNA from 1 species